GAUGAACGCUGGCGGCGUGCCUAAUACAUGCAAGUCGAGCGAACAGACGAGGAGCUUGCUUCUCUGACGUUAGCGGCGCACGGGUGAGUAACAUGUGGAUAACCUACCUAUAAGACUGGGAUAACUUCGGGAAACUGGAGCUUAUACCGGAUAAUAUAUUGAACCGCAUGGUUCAAUAGUGAAAUACGGUUUUGCUGCUACUUAUAGAUGGAUCCCGGCGGCAUUAGCUAGUUGGUAAGGUAACGGCUUACCAAGGCAACGAUUCGUAGCCGACCUGAGAGGGUGAUCGGCCACACUGGAACUGGGACACGGUCCAGACUCCUACGGGAGGCAGCAGUGGGGAAUCUUCCGCAAUGGGCGAAAGCCUGACGGAGCAACGCCGCGUGAGUGAUGAAGGUCUUCGGAUCGUAAAACUCUGUUAUUAGGAAAGAACAAAUGUGUAAGUAACUAUGCACGUCUUGACGGUACCUAAUCAGAAAGCCACGGCUAACUACGUG
rnacentral:rRNA from 1 species